rnacentral:rRNA from 1 species
AGCGAACGCUGGCGGCAGGCUUAACACAUGCAAGUCGAGCGCCGUAGCAAUGCGGAGCGGCAGAUGGGUGAGUAACACGUGGGAACGUACCUUUUGGUUCGGAACAACACAGGGAAACUUGUGCUAAUACCGGAUAAGCCCUUACGGGGAAAGAUUUAUCGCCGAAAGAUCGGCCCGCGUCUGAUUAGCUAGUUGGUGAGGUAACGGCUCACCAAGGCGACGAUCAGUAGCUGGUCUGAGAGGAUGAUCAGCCACACUGGGACUGAGACACGGCCCAGACUCCUACGGGAGGCAGCAGUGGGGAAUAUUGGACAAUGGGCGCAGGCCUGAUCCAGCCAUGCCGCGUGAGUGAUGAAGGCCCUAGGGUUGUAAAGCUCUUUUGUGCGGGAAGAUAAUGACUGUACCGCAAGAAUAAGCCCCGGCUAACUUCGUGCCAGCCGCCGCGGUAA